rnacentral:rRNA from 1 species
GACGAACGCUGGCGGCGUGCUUAACACAUGCAAGUCGAACGGAAAGGCCCUGCUUUUGUGGGGUGCUCGAGUGGCGAACGGGUGAGUAACACGCGAGUAACCUGCCCCUGACUUUGGGAUAUCUUCAGGAAACUGGGGCUAAUACCGGAUAGGAGCUCUUGCUGCAUGGUGGUGGUUGGAAAGUUUCGGCGGUUCGGGCUGGACUCGCUGCUUAUCAGCUUGUUGGUGAGGUAGUGGCUUACCAAGGCUUUGACGGGUAGCCGGCCUGAGAGGGUGAACGGCCACCUGGGGCCUACGGUAGGGCCCAGAAUCGUACGGGAGGCAACGGUGGAGAAUAUUGCGGAGCGGGGGGGAGCCUGAUAUGACAACGCCGCGAUCGGGAUGCCGGCCUUCGGGUUGUGAACCGCUUUCGCCUGUAACGUGGCGUGAGUGACGGUAAUGAGUCAGGAAGCACCGGCUAACUACGUG